CCUCACCGCGUGCACUGGUCCGGCCGGGCCUUUCCUCCCGGGGAGCCGCAUGCCCUUCGCUGGGCGUGUCGGGGAACCGGGACUUUUACUUUGAAAAAAUUAGAGUGUUCAAAGCAGGCCUUUGCUCGGAUACAUUAGCAUGGAAUAAUGGAAUAGGACGUCGCGGUCCUAUUUUGUUGGUUUCUAGGACCGCCGUAAUGAUUGAUAGGGACAGUCGGGGGCAUCAGUAUUCAAUUGUCAGAGGUGAAAUUCUUGGAUUUAUUGAAGACUAGCUACUGCGAAAGCAUUUGCCAAGGAUGUUUUCAUUAAUCAGUGAACGAAAGCUGGGGGAUCGAAGACGAUCAGAUACCGUCGUAGUCUCAGCCGUAAACUAUGCCGACUAGGGAUCGGGCGGUGUUAUUUUUUGACCCGCUCGGCACCUUACGAGAAAUCAAAGUUUUUGGGUUCUGGGGGGAGUAUGGUCGCAAGGCUGAAACUUAAAGAAAUUGACGGAAGGGCACCACCAGGCGUGAACACACGGCGUUCCUCCGCAGGACUCCGCGCCGCAGAGCAGCCCGCGAGGGUGGGUGGUGCCGGCCUCAAAUGCUAGUCGGGCCCGUCGGACGGGCGCCGGCGACAUGUCCAAACUGCGGGGACUCCCUGAGAGCCCACAGCCACCAAGCCGCGCGCCGAAAGGCCGCGGUGGCCGGGUCAACGCCCCGGGUACGGUAACAGCGCUGGGGGAUUGGGUUAUCCGCAUCCGAGCCCCUGCGGGCCCCCUAGGGGCCACGGGGAAGGUUCAGAGGCCAGAUGGACGUGGGCCGGCGGGUUCCGCCGGUCUAAGAUAUGGUCCGGGCGCCGGCGAAAGCCGGUCCGCCGAUUUUCGUGGGAGCCUGCGGCUUAAUUUGACUCAACACGGGGAAACUUACCAGGUCCAGACAUGAGAAGGAUUGACAGAUUGAGAGCUCUUUCUUGAUUUCAUGGUUGGUGGUGCAUGGCCGUUUUUAGUUCGUGGGGUGGCUUGUCUGCUUAAUUGCGAUAACGAACGAGACCUUAACCUGCUAAAUAGCCAGGCCGGCUCCGGCCGGUCGCCGGCUUCUUAGAGGGACUAUCGGCUCAAGCCGACGGAAGUUUGAGGCAAAAACAGGU
rnacentral:rRNA from 1 species